rnacentral:rRNA from 1 species
UACAGAGGGUGCAAGCGUUGUUCGGAAUUAUUGGGCGUAAAGCGCGUGUAGGCGGCUUUGCAAGUCGGGUGUGAAAGCCCUCAGCUCAACUGAGGAAGUGCGCCCGAAACUGCAGAGCUUGAGUGCCGGAGAGGGUGGCGGAAUUCCCCAAGUAGAGGUGAAAUUCGUAGAUAUGGGGAGGAACACCGGUGGCGAAGGCGGCCACCCUGGACGGUAACUGACGCUGAGACGCGAAAGCGUGGGGAGCAAACAGG